ACGAAAUUCAUAAACUAAUUUUAAACAGCAUUCCGAAUAUUAGACUCUUCAAUACCACAAAAAAAAAAUUAAAUUGGAUCUAAAAAAACAUUUAAUUACCGAAAAUGUCGGAAAAUGUAAUUGCAAAAUUGUGUAACAAAAAUUCAUUUUAUGAGACGGACUUCUACGCGUUUUUAUGUUGGUAUUAUAUGAAGAAUCAGCAUUCCGCUCUGACUGAUAUUAUAGUGAACGCAAUAUGUCGCUGGUGUACAAUGCCAGCAACGAGGAGAUCACGGUUUAUGGAGAUGAUAAGAAAUGCAAAAAUGAUAUAUGACAAAAGGAGAAAGAUAUAUACCUUUUUGCAUCCAAAUUUUCUUUAAGCAUUCCUCAACCUUCAACUUUUAUACUGUUUCUAUUACAAAAUAACCCUCAACAUAAUUUACUCAACUAAAUGCAGUUUUAUAAAGUGAAUAAAAAUUUAUGUUACACGUUUCCUGAUUGUUUUAACAACCGAUUGGUGUUUGUAAUCCAAUGUUUUCGAACAUGAUUUGUGGCUAAGAUCAACCCAAAAUAUUUGCUAAAAUAUAGGAUAAUAGGAUUACCAGCAAAACAACAACUACAAAUUCAACGAUGCCACAAUAUCACACGUGCUCAGAUUAAAAAAAAAAUAUCAGAAGAGAAGAAAUUAAACAAAAACAAAAUUAAAGAAAAAUAGUGAAAGCAGAAAGUGUGAAUACAUAAAAAAAGACAAAAGGAAAUAGUUAAAACAUGGCCAUGAAUUACCGUAAAAACAUGACCACAACCGGAGGCAAGCAAAAAAAAAGUGUUAAAAUAUCAAACAAAAAAGCUGAAAAACAUUGUUACGUGGGCUCGGAAUCAUUUAAUUUACUUCACAACAACAAUAACAAACCAAACAACGGAUUAUUUAAUAGACUAGGUCCACAUUCAAUACAGUAGCUUGGGUGCGAUGGAAUCGAGCAAGUACGACCGGGGUAGGCAAACAAGAAAACACAACGACAGAAACAACAAUAAAAAUUGUUCAGUAACGUAAAAAUCCUAAAGCCGAAAUUCAGUUUAUCAUUUCAAUGAGAAGAGCCACACUGUGCUGGCCCACCUACGACCUCAUUGAGUACAAUUCAUUUAAGUAAAUUAUCGCACAGAACACAGCCAAGCGGAUUUUCACUGCACGUACGUGUACCUAUGGCUGCAUCCAUUUUACUGCAAUAGGGCCCAGCGUUCCUCAACCACCAAUGCAGCAGCUGUUAAAUUCGUUAACUGCUGAGCGUUUCUUUUUUUCCAUUUUUCAUUUUGGUGGAAAUUGGAGCUGCCGUGGCAAAGAAUAUUUUAAUCCAUAUGCUCUGUCGUGGACUAUAAUGGAACGGAAAUGAAGACCUCAGAACAAAUCAGGGAAGAAACGCCGUUUCUUUUUUUUAAUUUCGAAGGUUAGGUUCUUCCGGCUGUACUCUAAUAGAACACAAUAUCUCUCAUCUUAAACGGUGAUUACUCCAUGAAAUUGGGAAGUGUUAAUAUAAUUUUACAACCAAUUGCAUAUCAGUAAAAACAUUAAAAAACAUAAUGAAAUUAUCUCCGUUGUCAAAAGAUAUCGAAGUAGAGGACAAAAAAAUACACUAAGAUUGGAACGUGUACUGCAUUGGACUUGUUACACGAAUGCAUUGGACUUGCAGCAACGAACUAACUCAAAACCGAAAUCAAACAAUGGAUGCAACAGUAGUCUUAAAGCAGAUGCCCACCUUACUUUAAGGAACAAAUGGAUUUAACAAAAAGAAGCGCUAUUAGAAAAUUUCUACUAACAAAGCUACAUAGUGCUACUAUAAAUACUACCUUAAGUAGUUAAAUAGAUAUAAGAUAGGACUAUGGAAAAUACUGAAUUCUUGUAAAGACUACUGGCUUUACAUUCGAAUGAUAUAAUACAAAAUAAGUAAGUGCAAAAGUAGACCAUGAUGACGGAAGAGUGGCAGUUUGUUGUGUUAAAUUGGUGCAACAGAUAAACAUAAAGAUCUUUUAUAAAUAAUUUUCCUGACUUUUCAUCCACACUAUAUGUAUAUCUAUAUAUACAUAAUUACAGUAAGGUAAUGGUAAAGUGCUAGUUUG